UACGUAGGGGGCAAGCGUUGUCCGGAAUCAUUGGGCGUAAAGAGCGUGUAGGCGGCUCGGUAAGUCCGCUCUGAAAAGCCCGGGGCUCAACCCCGGGAGGCGGGCGGAUACUGUCGGGCUAGAGUCCGGAAGAGGCGAGUGGAAUUCCUGGUGUAGCGGUGAAAUGCGCAGAUAUCAGGAGGAACACCAAUGGCGAAGGCAGCACUCUGGGACGUGACUGACGCUGAGACGCGAAAGCGUGGGGAGCAAACAGG
rnacentral:rRNA from 1 species